rnacentral:rRNA from 1 species
UAAAACUCAAAGGAAUUGACGGGGCCCCGCACAAGCAGCGGAGCGUGGGAUUUAAUUCGAUGAUACGCGAAGAACCUUACCAAGGCUUGACAUGCACAUGACCGCGGCGGAAACGUCGCUUUCCCGAAAGGGACGCGUGCACAGUUGUUGCAUGGCUGUCGUCAGCUCGUUUCGUGAGAUGUUGGGUUAAGUCCCGCAACGAGCGCAACCCCUUUCGUGUGUUGUAUCACUCACACGAUACUGCCGAGACAAACUCGGAGGAAGGCGGGGAUGACGUCAAGUCAGCAUGGCCCUUAUGUCUUGGGCUACACCCACGCUACAAUGGCCGGUACAACGGGCUUGCGAGGCCGCGAGGCGGAGCGAAUCCCUUAAAGCCGUUCUCAGUUCGAAUUGCAGGCUGCGGCUCGCCUGCAUGAAGCCGGAGUUGCUAGUAACCGCUGGUCAGCACACAGCGGUGAAUAUGUUCCCGGGGCUUGUACACACCGCCCGUCAAGUCACGAAAGUCGGCAAUACCCGAAGCCAGUGCGCCAACCGUAAGGGGGC